UAGGGAAUCUUCCGCAAUGGGCGAAAGCCUGACGGAGCAACGCCGCGUGAGUGAUGAAGGUCUUCGGAUCGUAAAACUCUGUUAUUAGGGAAGAACAAAUGUGUAAGUAACUAUGCACGUCUUGACGGUACCUAAUCAGAAAGCCACUGCUAACUACGUGCCAGCAGCCGCGGUAAUACGUAGGUGGCAAGCGUUAUCCGGAAUUAUUGGGCGUAAAGCGCGCGUAGGCGGUUUUUUAAGUCUGAUGUGAAAGCCAACGGCUCAACCGUGGAAGGUAAAUGGAAACUGGAAAACUUGAGUGCAGAAGAGGAAAGUGGAAUUCCAGGUGUAGCGGUGAAAUGCACAGAGUAAUGGAGGAACACCAGUGGCGAAAGCAACUUUCUGGUCUGUAACUGACGCUAAUGUGCGAAAGCGUGGGGAUCAAACAGG
rnacentral:rRNA from 1 species